rnacentral:rRNA from 1 species
UACGGGGGGGGCAAGCGUUGUUCGGAAUUACUGGGCGUAAAGGGCGCGUAGGCGGCCUUCUAAGUCGAACGUGAAAUCCCCGGGCUCAACCCGGGAACUGCGUCCGAGACUGAAAGGCUUGAAUCCGGGAGAGGGAUGUGGAAUUCCAGGUGUAGCGGUGAAAUGCGUAGAUAUCUGGAGGAACAUCGGUGGCGAAGGCGGCAUCCUGGACCGGUAUUGACGCUGAGGCGCGAAAGCCAGGGGAGCAAAGCGGG